ACGUAGGGUGCAAGCGUUAAUCGGAAUUACUGGGCGUAAAGCGUGCGCAGGCGGUUUCGUAAGUCUGUCGUGAAAUCCCCGGGCUUAACCUGGGAAUGGCAUUUGGGACUGCAAGGCUCGAGUGCGGCAGAGGAGACUGGAAUUCCUGGUGUAGCAGUGAAAUGCGUAGAUAUCAGGAGGAACACCGAUGGCGAAGGCAGGUCUCUGGGCUGACACUGACGCUCAUGCACGAAAGCGUGGGGAGCAAACAGGA
rnacentral:rRNA from 1 species